rnacentral:rRNA from 1 species
GGCUUGUUGAUAAUAAUUUCAGGUCUGACCUGCCCGAUGAGUUAAAUUGAAAUGGCCGCGGUAUAUUGACCGUGCAAAGGUAGCAUAAUCAUUAGUUUUUUAAUUGAAAGCUUGAAUGAAGGGUUUGAUGAGAAAAUUUCUGUCUCUAUAAGAGUUUAUUAGAAUUUUAUUUUUAAGUGAAAAAGCUUAAAUAUAUAUAGAAGACGAGAAGACCCUAUAGAGUUUUAUAUUUCUGCUUUUGAUAAAAUUUUUAGUUUAAUAAAAUUAAUUUUUAGUUAGGGUAUUUUAUUGGGGUGAUAAAAAAAUUUAAUAAACUUUUGUUUAAUUGGAACAUUGAUUUAUGAAUAAAUGAUCCUAUUUUUAAGAUUAAAAGAUAAAAUUACCUUAGGGAUAACAGCGUAAUUUUUCUUAGAGUUCUUAUCGAAAGAAGGGAUUGCGACCUCGAUGUUGGAUUAAAAUAAAUUGUUGGUGCAGAAGCUAAUGAAUUAAGUCUGUUCGACUUUUAAAAUUUUACAUGAUCUGAGUUUAAACCGGUGUGAG